rnacentral:tRNA from 1 species
UGUCAAGGGAUGGGAAACGAACCCACUAUGUUCUGCUUACCGGCCAGAUGCCAUUUCCACUAGGCUACCCUGGA